UCACUUAUUGGAUUGAAUCCAGGAAGUGCGUCUAGUUUUGGAAUUUCUACUACUGUUGCCCCUACUAUAAAUCCAUCACCAUUUAGUGGCAGUACUCAAUCACCUGUAUCUCCGGCUACU
rnacentral:ribozyme from 1 species